rnacentral:sRNA from 1 species
ACCUAUGUUGCCUCGGCGGGCCCCGCGCCCGCCGACGGCCCCCCUGAACGCUGUCUGAAGUUGCAGUCUGAGACCUAUAACGAAAUUAGUUAAAACUUUCAACAACGGAUCUCUUGGUUCCGGCAUCGAUGAAGAACGCAGCGAAAUGCGAUAACUAAUGUGAAUUGCAGAAUUCAGUGAAUCAUCGAGUCUUUGAACGCACAUUGCGCCCUCUGGUAUUCCGGAGGGCAUGCCUGUCCGAGCGUCAUUGCUGCCCUCAAGCCCGGCUUGUGUGUUGGGCCCCGUCCCCCCCGCCGGGGGGACGGGCCCGAAAGGCAGCGGCGGCACCGCGUCCGGUCCUCGAGCGUAUGGGGCUUCGUCACCCGCUCUAGUAGGCCCGGCCGGCGCCAGCCGACCCCCAACCUUUAAU